GUAUUUCCUGCGUGUGCACUCUCUUUUUGUUGCUGCGGUGUUGAUCACAGAACACCCUGUGUGUUAAUCUCUCAUUCUCUCUCCUACCAGUUGUUGCGGGCAAUGUCGUAGAUCCAGAAGGAGUUGCGGACAUUCUCCUCGCGUUUGUCCUUGUCUUUGCUGAGGCCCGACAGGACGUGGAUCUCAUUGAGCUCGGGGUCUAUGGUUGCUCGCUGGGUAAAGCCCGUCAUCGGCACUGUGGAGGCAAAAACAACAAAUGAACAGGGAGGUCAACUGAGAAAUAAAAACAAACAUUCACUCCGCCAGCAGAUCUGAUUCAGCAGAGAUAAGAAUAUGGCCAAGGUCAGACGUUAUUCAGAUAUGAUCUCUACAUGGUCCCCAUCCACAUCAUAGCUGAAGAAAUCAUUGAGACAGGCAGACUGGACUCACAGUGUGGAAAAGCAUGCAGUGUCCGAUGCGGGACUGGACAUCCUCUGGGCCAGCGUUACACGAGUCUUCCCGUAAGAGGCUCCAAGUUCCAGCCUGGCAGUGGUAGGCGUACAGGCCGCUGAACUGAGGCUCUGACGUCCGACUGUCCUCCACACUGCCGUUACAUGUCAGGAUGCGACCGCCAAACGUGUAGAUCAUGUGCUUCUCAGAGUCCAUGCACAUCUGCAGGAAGAUCAGGGAGCAGAGGACAAGAGAUGGAGGAAACAGGAAGUGUGAGAGUUCAGAAAGGUUCCAGGAGGAAGCAAAAGGGCAGCAGGAUGACUUUCGUAUUUUCACUGUGUGUGUGAAAGGAUUGAACAGAGGUAUCGACUUUAUUUACUUAAUUCAUGAAUGCUGGUGCACUUUAAAAUAAAAGAAAGUUUUUAGACAAUAUAUGGGAGUGAUGGCAACCUCGUAGAAGCAACACAAUGCUUAUCUAGUCUCUCUGUCAAGGUUUAGUUACAAUUCUGGACUAAUGGAAAGCAAUGGACUAACAUUAACUAUUGAUUAAAUAUUGAAUUUAAAAUUAAUUGACUGGAAUAAUUACCAGACAGCAGUACUCAGUGUUAUAUUUUAUUAUUUUCAAAUGUUAUAUUUUCGACAAUUUCUUAUUUAUGUUAAUAUUAAUUUAUCUUAAGAUUGUAUAGAAAGUUUUUUCUAAUAUUCUUUGUAGAGCUGUGCCAUAUGACGAUAUCUAUGGUUUGACAGUAGAAAAACUAUCGUUUACAAUUAUGCUCCAUCGUUUAUUUCGUUGUGUUGCAAAUUCCACACUUUACAGUAAUAUUUAGUGAGGGGGCGGCGCUUUGCACCGCAGUGAAGUUAGCUUCACGUUGGACUUCAACAUCUAUUGAAUGUCUAACGUAAAACUAAUAUCCAACUUGAAACUAACUUCACUGCGGCCCGUUCUUCCACACGUGCCGGUGUUGCAGAAAGAAAUUUGCAUUUAAAGUAAUGGACGAGCCACACAACACUAUCCAGCAGUGCCAGUCAUGAUGUGUGUGUCAGUCAGGAAACGUUAAAUGACUUGCCCACGAAUAAACAGCUUUCUUUCUAGUUCGCCAA